rnacentral:misc_RNA from 1 species
UGACCCUGCCCUAUUGCCUCUUAGCGUUCUAUCCAUCGACCUGCACCUGCACACAUGAGCUGCAAAAAGUUUGACUCCUUGCCGAUGUUGACUGCCUCUCUUCUCAUGUUCCUCCUCUUCGCCAGCCAGCGGGAUCUCUCCUGCCUUUUCUGCCGCGUGUUUUGCCAUCUCACGAGGAAAAACUGAAAGAAAAAAGGUAUCACCUGGUACGUCUUGUGCUGCGGUACCUCGGAUUUGGUGCAUUUUUCUCCUCGGCUCAUUUCUUCCCAGCCUGGGAGACUCCCGUUUCUCUCACUGCUUGUUUUCGGUCGAUGCUCAUUGUGUCCGCGUGGGCGUUGACUUUCCGCUUCCCACCCUCCGCCCACCUUGAUUUGGGCCAGGAAUUUUCGGAUGAAAAGGGUUAGGCUCUCCCUCCUUGUCGUAUAGAGCACAAUCUCUCAGAAAGCCUUCAGCCUCACUUCAUCAAAAAAAAGCGCUGCAGCCACAUUGCUGACUGAUCGGCGAUUACCGUGGGCGGUCGAUGCAGUUUCACUCCCUUCAUCCAGGGCACGCACUUAUGCAGACAGGUGCACGGUUUUAGAUUACCGGUGGCUAGUACCCACCGUAUUUUCCGAUAAACUUGUAUAAUACGAGGCAGAAAGGAAGAGCUAGAAAGUGCGCGCACUCGAUGAGUCAUCUCCUCUUUGGUGGACCGACGCGCCAUGACGAGGUGAGGCCAACGGCAGCAAACGUAGCCGAGAUCUUUCGUUUUUUUUCUUUUUCAGCACGUUUAUCGAAGAGCAUUGUGCGUUUCGUUCUGAAGAGCAGCGACAAGCGUGCCAGAGGUUAGUAACCUAAUAAAAACGAUAACUCGGUACCGGUAUGGGUUAGGGUUUUUCUCUCGACUGAUUC